rnacentral:rRNA from 1 species
CCUACGGGAGGCAGCAGUGAGGAAUAUUGGUCAAUGGGCGGAAGCCUGAACCAGCCAAGUCGCGUGAGGGAAUAAGGCCCUACGGGUCGUAAACCUCUUUUGCCGGGGAGCAAGGGCGGGGCCGUGUCCCGGCCCGGAGAGUACCCGGAGAAAAAGCAUCGGCUAACUCCGUGCCAGCGGCCGCGGUAAUACGGAGGAUGCGAGCGUUAUCCGGAUUUAUUGGGUUUAAAGGGUGCGUAGGCGGGCUUUUAAGUCCGCGGUAAAAAGUCGGGGCUCAACCCCGUCCGGCCGUUGAAACUGGGGGCAUUGAGUGGGCGAGAAGAAGGCGGAAUGCGUGGUGUAGCGGUGAAAUGCAUAGAUAUCACGCAGAACCCCGAUUGCGAAGGCAGCCGUCCGGCGCCCUACUGACGCUGAGGCACGAAAGUGCGGGGAUCGAACAGGAUUAGAUACCCUAGUAGUC